AGAGUUUGAUCAUGGCUCAGGACGAACGCUAGCGCGNNNUUAACACAUGCAAGUCGAGCGGAAAGGCCCUUCGGGGUACUCGAGCGGCGAACGGGUGAGUAACACGUGAGCAACCUACCCUUGGCUUUGGGAUAACCCCGGGAAACCGGGGCUAAUACCGAAUAUCCACGCUCCAUCGCAUGAUGGUGUGUGAAAAGUUUUUCGGCUGGGGAUGGGCUCGCGGCCUAUCAGCUUGUUGGUGGGGUAAUGGCCUACCAAGGCUUCGACGGGUAGCCGGCCUGAGAGGGCGACCGGCCACACUGGGACUGAGAUACGGCCCAGACUCCUACGGGAGGCAGCAGUGGGGAAUAUUGCACAAUGGGCGGAAGCCUGAUGCAGCGACGCCGCGUGAGGGACGAAGGCCUUCGGGUUGUAAACCUCUUUCGGCAGGGACGAAGCGCAAGUGACGGUACCUGAAGAAGAAGCGCCGGCCAACUACGUGCCAGCAGCCGCGGUAAGACGUAGGGCGCAAGCGUUGUCCGGAUUUAUUGGGCGUAAAGAGCUCGUAGGCGGCUUGUCGCGUCGACUGUGAAAACCCCGCGGCUUAACUGUGGGACUGCAGUCGAUACGGGCUAGCUAGAGUUCGGUAGGGGAGACUGGAAUUCCUGGUGUAGCGGUGAAAUGCGCAGAUAUCAGGAGGAACACCGGUGGCGAAGGCGGGUCUCUGGGCCGAUACUGACGCUGAGGAGCGAAAGCGUGGGGAGCGAACAGGAUUAGAUACCCUUGUAGUCC
rnacentral:rRNA from 1 species